AUCUUUCUAGUACAAGUAGUAUAAGUGACUUCCAAUUACAUGGUCCUAGUUAAAUUCUAGGGGAAGAUA
rnacentral:tRNA from 1 species